rnacentral:rRNA from 1 species
GUGGGGAAUCUUAGACAAUGGGGGCAACCCUGAUCUAGCCAUGCCGCGUGAGUGAUGAAGGCCUUAGGGUCGUAAAGCUCUUUCGCUGGGGAAGAUAAUGACGGUACCCAGUAAAGAAACCCCGGCUAACUCCGUGCCAGCAGCCGCGGUAAUACCGAGGGGGUUAGCGUUGUUCGGAAUUACUGGGCGUAAAGUGCGCGUAGGCGGAUUGGAAAGUUGGGGGUGAAAUCCCGGGGCUCAACCCUGGAAUGGCCUUCAAAACUCCCAGUCUUGAGGUCGAGAGAGGUGAGUGGAAUUCCGAGUGUAGAGGUGAAAUUCGUAGAUAUUCGGAGGAACACCAGUGGCGAAGGCGGCUCACUGGCUCGAUACUGACGCUGAGGUGCGAAAGCGUGGGGAGCAAACAGGAUUAGAAACCCUUGUAGUCC